rnacentral:rRNA from 1 species
UGGGGAAUCUUGCGCAAUGGGGGAAACCCUGACGCGGCGACGCCGCGUGGGUGAUGAAGGCCUUCGGGUCGUAAAGCCCUGUCGGAGGGGAAGAAACACGGCCGGUCGAAUACACCGGUCGCCUGACGGUACCCUCUAAGGAAGCCCCGGCUAACUCCGUGCCAGCAGCCGCGGUAAUACGGGGGGGGCGAGCGUUGUUCGGAUUUACUGGGCGUAAAGGGCGCGUAGGCGGUCUCAGAAGUUCUGGGUGAAAGCCCCCGGCUCAACCGGGGAAGUGCCUGGAAAACCAUGGGACUGGAGUGCUGGAGAGGCAAGCGGAAUUUCUGGUGUAGCGGUGAAAUGCGUAGAUAUCAGAAGGAACAUCUGAGGCGAAGGCGGCUUGCUGGACAGACACUGACGCUGAGGCGCGAAAGCUAGGGGAGCAA